GGCAGAGGAGCCUGAGAGUGGAAGGGAGUGAGCAGGGGCGCUCUGAAUUCAGGGCACCUCCCAGUCAGUUAAAUACCCAGUUCUGUCCACUCCCCGUCAUUAACCCCUGAGUGCCCAGUGAUGCAACCCCUGAGUGCCUUCAGGUCUGAGACUCUGGCCAAGUCCCCAGAGGAGGGGCCAGCUGGGCCCACAGCCCAGGAAGCAGGGGAUGUAAUGGCUGUCCCCUCUCAUGUCUUCCGUCACCUACCCCUUUCCUAGCCACUGUCCUGGUGCCCCUGGUACCCAGGGCCUGGGCUGGGCUUUUCUUUCUUGGCAUCUUUCCCUCAUCCUGUUAUAUGGAUUCGGCGACUGAGACCCAGAGAGGAGGAGAAACUCGAGCUCUCACAGCGGGAGUGCCACGUGCCGGGUCUGCCCCGUUUCCACAUUCCCACUGGGUGAACUGGAGGCAAGACGCCCUCCCCAGGCCUUCCCCGCUCCUGACCUGCGACUGGGAUAACUUGACCAUCCACUUCCAUCAACGAUCAGGGCCGGGAGCUGCUGGCCCUGGCCUGGGAGUCCUGGUUCUGCCACUUAUUACGUGGCCGGGGCAGAUGCUUUACCUUACUUGGAUCCUCAGUUUUCCUGCGUAGAUGACGGUGGUAGAAGGCAUCCCACCCUUGCCUCCUUUGUGGGAGGACAGAAAACUCCAAUGUGACUAGGCAGUGGCCUUCAUGGAACCUUGGGCACCCUGCUGAGCCCCUCACAAGCAAGAUCAGCUGAGCUGCGUCCUGUGUGCUACGACCACUCCCAUCUUACAGAGGAGGGAACCGAGGCUCAGGCCUAAGUACCUGGUGAGUCAGAAUUUGGAUCCAGGCAGCCCAAAGGACUUACCCAGAGCCAACGUAUCUACCAGGUGAAGGGGAUGCAGAGCUUAACUAACAUCCAUACCAGUUUUGAGAUCCUUCAAAAUGUUUCAGUUGCUUAAAAAAUCAGAAGAAGAAUGAGUACAACUCAGCCUGGA
rnacentral:lncRNA from 1 species